rnacentral:lncRNA from 10 species
CAUGAGUCACCCUUGCAUGGGAAGGAGGGGCCGGUGUUAGGCUGGGCUGUCACGACCUCGACCGUCUUUCCUGGGUCGAGGAGAGAAGGGGGAGCAUGGCAGGAGCAGAGCUUAGGGAGCUGGGGUUGGCUCCACCCGAUAAGGCUGAGAGAUAAAAUUAAUGAUUUCAUUUCCUGAAAUAUAUGUCCUUGGAAAACCGAGGGCAGAGAGCAAUGAACAGACUGGGAAGGGAGAAAAAAACCAAGCAGACACGACAGUGUCUAAGGGCCCGGGUGAAGCUGGUGUCCCCCACAACAGACACGACAAUGUCUAAGGGCCCGGGUGAAGCUGGUGUCCCCCGCAGCAGACACGACAGUAUCUAAGAGCCCAGGUGUAAGACUCUCCUACAGUCUCUGCCAAGCCUGAAGCCCUCUUCCUUCUCCAGGGGAUCUUCAGCACCUACUUCCUCAAGAUCGAGGUGCAGGCACCCAGCUCCUUCUCCCUCAGACCUGGGAGUCCCUGCCUUGGGAGCCCGCUCUGGGCGGGGAGCACUUACCAGCAGCACCAGGUUCCCCCAGACCCCGAGGCCCCCGCCAGCCCCAGCCAUGCCUCCAGACACUGCCGGGGACCCAGGAGUCCCAGGCCUAGUCCUUCCACCUGCUGGACUUUACACUCAAGAAUUUCCCCUUUACCAGAUCAUUGGUGAAGCCAGAGGCCAGGGCGGGAAGGGGAGGAGGAGGAAGUGGAACCCAGCUCCCAACCCUGCCCCGCUGGCCCUCACCUUCCUCCCUCACCGCUGCCUCUAGCUCUGACACUGGAGAUGCCUCCCAUCCUUUCUCCAGCCCCCAGCCCACUCCACUUUGUCCCCCGAAAUCUCCCUCUGCACCCCAGGUACCGGGUGCCGCGCCCCACUGCUGCACGGAUGCGGGACGUGGGGCAGAGGAUGAGAGCAGGGGGUGCUGAGAGAAAGGCCAGCUGACUCCCUCGCCUCCCUGGUGGGUGAUCACACAUCAAGAGCAGCCUGGGGCUUAGACCUCAUGCCCCUCGUCCCUGGAGCACGCUCUUCCAUUCAGCCUCUGACGCCUUUCCCCUCUCCGUCUCCCACAAGCCCCUGCAGCUCUCACAAAAUGAGCCCAGCGGGCUCCUGCCUCUUGGCCUUUGCCUAGACUGUCUCCCCCACCAGAUGCACCUGCCUACUUUCCCCCUAACAGUCUCCUACCCACUGCUCCAUUAGGAUUCAGCUUGGAAAUGACCCAUGCCGGGCCUGGGGCCUUUCUAGCCUGGUCAGGACCCUGUGCACUGUCUUCCACACCCCAGACUCUCUAAUUUGCAUAUCCAUCUGUGACCCUGAGCAAAUGACUUAAAUCCACAGUGACUCAGAUUCCUCAUCUCUAAAGAAUGGGCACCCUUGUAAAUAUGCUAAGAGAAAUAGAUGAGUUACUACGUGGAAAGUCUUGGAACAAUGCCUGGCCCAUUUUAAACAGUUGAUAAAUAUUAGUCAUGUUUAUUUUUAGUUCAUCCCUAGGCCACCUGUGCUCAGAAGGGGCCUGACACCCAGGGCUUUUCAAGGUGUUUUUGUUGACUUACUAUGUGCACACGUGGACUGCCUUCAUCUCACAUAUAGUGCGGAAAUGAAGAAUAGAAACCCCAGCCGGGCAUAUUGGUGUGUGCCCAGCUACUCAGGAGGCUGAAGUGGGAGGAUCACUUGAGCCCAGGAGUUUGAGACCAGCCCGGGCAAUAUACAAAACCCCAUCUUUACAAAGAAAAACAAAAAGAGAGAAAAAAUUACCCAGGCAUGGUAGUGCACGCCUGUAGUCCCAGCUACCGGGAGGCUGAGGUGGGAGGAUCACCUGAGACUGGGAAGUCAAGGCUGCAGUAAGCUGCGAUUGUGCCACUGCACUCCAGCCUGGGUGACAGAGUGAGCCCCUGUCUCAGAAAGCAAAACAAUGGCCAGGCGCGGUGGCUCACACCUGUAAUCCCAGCAAUUUGGGAGGCCGAGGUGGGCAGAUCACCUGAGAUCAGGAGUUCGAGACCAGCCUGGCUAAGAUGGUGAAACCCCAUCUCUACUAAAAUGCAAAAAUUAGCUGGCUGUGGUGGCAGGCACCUGUACUCCCAGCUACUC